rfam:Eubacterium sp. CAG:581 genomic scaffold, scf249
UUCUUAUCAAGAGCGACUGAGGGACAGGCCCUAUGAAGUCCGGCAACCUGCGAAAAGCAAGGUGCUAAUUCCUGCGGUAUAACCGAAAGAUGAGUA